CCGCAAGCCGUCCAGCGUGGCGGGGCCUGCGGUGGCCCCGCGCACUCCUGCAGCGCUUGCCAGAGCAGCCCGGGACGGUUUGAGGUCUCCCGCCGCCCUCCCCGGCGGGGGGCUAUAGAGGUCUCGGACACGG
ensembl:snoRNA